GAUGAAGAACGUAGCGAAAUGCGAUACGUAAUGUGAAUUGCAGAAUUCAGUGAAUCAUCGAAUCUUUGAACGCACCUUGCACCCUUUGGCAUUCCGAAGGGUAUGCUCGUUUGAGUGUCAUUGUACUCUCACACUUCCAAUCUUUGGAUUGGGAGCGGUGGACUUGGGUGUUGCUGCUUACUGUGGCUCACCUCAAAUCGAUUCGUGCACCUCUUGGUUGGACAUAGUACGGCGUGAUAAGUGUCUUCGCCGGCACCUCAGUAGAGGGUGGCUGAUCAGGAGCUCUGUGCUUCAAACCGUCCUCGGACAACAACUGACAACUUGACCUCAAAUCGAGUAGGACUACCCGCUGAACUUAAGCAUAUCAAUAAGCGGAGGA
rnacentral:misc_RNA from 1 species